UGGGAGGAGUCCAGGCAUCUGUAUAUUCUGUUAAGGUGCUCCGGGGAAUUUGAGCCACAGCCAAGCUUGAAAAGAACUGGAAAGGCUCAGUGUCUGCUCCUGGAUUUCUUGUUUGAAGAAAACAAAACUCUGAGGAACGCACUUGAGCGCCAUGGUGAAAGCAUAGGCCCACCAACGUUAACAGGUUGAACACACAUGAUUGCUUAUGUAUAGCAGCCAUCCUGGACCACGAAACCACCAAGAAUGAGGAUAUGUUUGUGGGAUAGAAGAGGAUAAAGACAGAAAGAGCCUGACAUCAUCUGGCUACUGUGAAGUUCUGGACUUCUCUUCCCCACAUGCCUUGGACAUGAAAAAAGAAUCCAUGUUUGAGUAAAAAUCACUGUUUGUCAGAUUUUCUGCUGCUUGCAGCUAAAUAAAAUGUUAACCGAUAAAGCUGCAUGUUAGAAACACUGAA